rnacentral:rRNA from 1 species
AUACAGAGGGUGCGAGCGUUAAUCGGAAUUACUGGGCGUAAAGCGCGCGUAGGCGGCUUAUUAAGUCAGAUGUGAAAUCCCCGGGCUCAACCUGGGAACUGCAUCUGAUACUGGUAAGCUCGAGUUUGGGAGAGGGAAGUAGAAUUUCAGGUGUAGCGGUGAAAUGCAUAGAGAUCUGAAGGAAUACCAGUGGCGAAGGCGACUUCCUGGCCUAAAACUGACGCUGAGGUGCGAAAGCGUGGGUAGCAAACGGGAUUAGAAACCCCAGUAGUCC